rnacentral:rRNA from 1 species
GACGAACGCUGGCGGCGUGCUUAACACAUGCAAGUCGAACGGAAAGGCCCUGCUUUUGUGGGGUGCUCGAGUGGCGAACGGGUGAGUAACACGUGAGUAACCUGCCCUUGACUUUGGGAUAACUUCAGGAAACUGGGGCUAAUACCGGAUAGGAGCUCCUGCUGCAUGGUGGGGGUUGGAAAGUUUCGGCGGUUGGGGAUGGACUCGCGGCUUAUCAGCUUGUUGGUGGGGUAGUGCUUACCAAGGCUUUGACGGGUAGCCGGCCUGAGAGGGUGACCGGCCACAUUGGGCCUGCGAUACGGCCCAGACUCCUACGGGAGGCAGCAGUGGGGAAUAUUGCACAAUGGGCGGAAGCCUGAUGCAGCAACGCCGCGUGCGGGAUGACGGCCUUCGGGUUGUAAACCGCUUUCGCCUGUGACGAAGCGUGAGUGACGGUAAUGGGUAAAGAAGCACCGGCUAACUACGUG